rnacentral:rRNA from 1 species
AUUGGACGCUGGCGGCAGGCCUAACGCAUGCAAGUCGAGCGGAUGAAGGGAGCUUGCUCCUGGAUUCAGCGGCGGACGGGUGAGUAAUGCCUAGGAAUCUGCCUGGUAGUGGGGGAUAACGUCCGGAAACGGGCGCUAAUACCGCAUACGUCCUGAGGGAGAAAGUGGGGGAUCUUCGGACCUCACGCUAUCAGAUGAGCCUAGGUCGGAUUAGCUAGUUGGUGGGGUAAAGGCCUACCAAGGCGACGAUCCGUAACUGGUCUGAGAGGAUGAUCAGUCACACUGGAACUGAGACACGGUCCAGACUCCUACGGGAGGCAGCAGUGGGGAAUAUUGGACAAUGGGCGAAAGCCUGAUCCAGCCAUGCCGCGUGUGUGAAGAAGGUCUUCGGAUUGUAAAGCACUUUAAGUUGGGAGGAAGGGCAGUAAGUUAAUACCUUGCUGUUUUGACGUUACCAACAGAAUAAGCACCGGCUAACUUCGUG